AAUAAUAACAAUCUUCCAAGAAAAGUGAAAAGGAGAGAAAGAAAGAGCGGCGGGCAUAAACAAACAGAGGUAGAAUUUGUAGAAAAUUAGUGGAGAAGAAGGGUGGGGAUGUCCCUUAUCCAAUUUGCCCUUUCAACCUCUUCAAAGUCCAAACGCUCACCUCCACCCUCUCUCCAUUUCUUUCUUCUUUCUGUGUGCACAGUAUUAUAUAUAUACACUUCGCAUUUUUUAACAGAAUAUACAAUAUAGAAACAGAAGAACAUUUUGUACAGCGAAUGAGACUGCAUCCAAUCAGAAUCUAGUCUAAGGAAAGAGAGAGAGAUCUUAGCGAAUCUAAUUCCAAAUGGGUAUGCAGGUCGCAGCUAAUUAUUAUCAGCACAAGUGUUUUAUGACUCCGACAUUACUGCCAAUCCCAUCGCCGAAAUUUACAUCUCUGAGAUUCUCUCCAAUAUUGGGUGCGUCUUCUUCAUUUCUUGAUUUCAAGAAGAAGGUAUUACAGAAAUCUGUUGGGUUCAGUUCUUUUCAAGACAGAAAGAGGAGUAGCAAUGGAAGAACUGCUGUUGUGGCUUCAUCAAGUAACGUGGCUGCACCUUUCUGGGGUUCUUGGAUGCCAGAAAAGACUUCUUCUUCUGCACCUUCUUUCAGCGACAUCUUCUGGCCCUCUGCAGGUGCAUUUGCGGCAAUGGCAAUAUUAGGUAGGAUUGAUCAAAUACUGGCGCCAAAAGGAAUUUCAAUGACAAUUGCUCCAUUAGGUGCUGUUUGUGCUGUCCUCUUUGCCACUCCUUCCUCCCCUGCUGCCCAGAAGUACAACAUGUUCAUGGCUCAGAUUGGUUGUGCAGCCAUUGGUGUUCUUGCCUUCUCAAUAUGUGGUCCCGGUUGGUUUGCUAGGAGUGCUGCCCUUGCUGCAUCAAUAGCUUUCAUGAUCUCUACACGUUCUACACACCCUCCAGUUGUUCAUGAACCAACGCCUAGCUGCAAGCUUGCCACUUCUGUUCAUUGAUGGAGUAAAGCUUCACCACUUAAACUUUUGGUACGCUUUGUUCCCAGGCGCUGCUGGAUGCAUUAUCCUUUGUUUGAUUCAAGAGAUAGUUUGUUACAUGAAGGACAGAUUCAAAUUCUAAAUAUCCCUAUGUGAAUAUGUCAUCGACUGCCAAUGAAAUCACCUCCAAGGCGAACAUUUUAUCCGCCAAUGGAAAAUAAGCUCGUCUGAGCUUUCUCAUGGUGUCUUCCUUCUUAUGUUGUUGUUCCUGCUGCUUGGUUCGUUGCUAAGAUUGUAAAGAAGUUCCCCAUCAUCAAUCAUGAUUCAUUCAUCUUAGUGUCUCUCUCGGAAGAGUGGCACCAAUGACUUCUCAAUUUCUUAUAUACUAGGGAAUACAGUUUUUUUUUUUUCUUAAAAAGAUGCCCAAAAAGGUUUCGUCCUUUUCUUUUAGUACCUUAUGAAUAACAUGGUUAAUAUUUUAAUAUCAAA